GGCCCGGUAGUUCAGUUGGUUAGAACGCCUGCCUGUCACGCAGGAGGUCGCGAGUUCAAGUCUCGUCCGGGUCGCCA
rnacentral:tRNA from 1 species